rnacentral:rRNA from 1 species
UACGGAGGAUGCAAGCGUUAUCCGGAAUGAUUGGGCGUAAAGCGUCCGCAGGUGGCAAUGUAAGUCUGCUGUCAAAGCGUCUGGCUCAACCAGAUAAAGGCAGUGGAAACUACAUAGCUAGAGUAAGGUAGGGGUAGAGGGAAUUCCUGGUGUAGCGGUGAAAUGCGUAGAGAUCAGGAAGAACACCGGUGGCGAAAAGCGCUCUGCUGGACCUUAACUGACACUGAGGGACGAAAGCUAGGGAGCGAAUGGG